rnacentral:rRNA from 1 species
UGCAUACCCGUUGUGGGGAAUUCAGUGAUCCUAUGCUGCCGAGAAAAGCCUCUAGUGAGUUCAUACACGGCCCGUACCCCAAACCGACACAGGUGAUCAGGUAGAGAAUACCAAGGCGAUCGAGAGAACUGUGGUUAAGGAACUCGGCAAAAUGCCCCCGUAACUUCGGGAGAAGGGGGACCAUGCCCGGUGAACAUCCUCACGGUGGGAGCUGGGUGUGGUCGCAGAGACCAGAGAGAAGCGACUGUUUACUAAAAACACAGGUCCGUGCGAAGACGUAAGUCGAUGUAUACGGACUGACGCCUGCCCGGUGCUGGAAGGUUAAGAGGACCGGUUAGCCGUAAGGCGAAGCUGAGAAUUUAAGCCCCAGUAAACGGCGGUGGUAACUAUAACCAUCCUAAGGUAGCGAAAUUCCUUGUCGGGUAAGUUCCGACCUGCACGAAUGGCGUAACGACUUCUCUGCUGUCUCGACCACAGACUCGGCGAAAUUGCACUACGAGUAAAGAUGCUCGUUACGCGCGGCAGGACGAAAAGACCCCGGGACCUUUACUAUAGCUUGGUAUUGGCGUUCGAUUCGGUUUGUGUAGGAUAGGUGGGAGACUGUGAAGCAUGCACGCCAGUGUGUGUGGAGUCGUUGUUGAAAUACCACUCUGAUCGUAUUGGACGUCUAACCUCGGCCCAUGAUCUGGGUUAGGGACAGUGCCUGGUGGGUAGUUUAACUGGGGCGGUUGCCUCCUAAAGAGUAACGGAGGCGCCCAAAGGUUCCCUCAGCCUGGAUGGCAAUCAGGUGUUGAGUGCAAGUGCACAAGGGAGCUUGACUGUGAGACUGACACGUCGAGCAGGGACGAAAGUCGGGACUAGUGAUCCGGCACCGGCAAGUGGAAGCGGUGUCGCUCAACGGAUAAAAGGUACCCCGGGGAUAACAGGCUGAUCUUCCCCAAGAGUCCAUAUCGACGGGAUGGUUUGGCACCUCGAUGUCGGCUCGUCGCAUCCUGGGGCUGGAGUAGGUCCCAAGGGUUGGGCUGUUCGCCCAUUAAAGCGGCACGCGAGCUGGGUUUAGAACGUCGUGAGACAGUUCGGUCUCUAUCCGCCGCGCGCGUAAGAAACUUGAGGAAGGCUGUCCCUAGUACGAGAGGACCGGGACGGACGAACCUCUGGUGUGCCAGUUGUUCCACCAGGAGCAUGGCUGGUUAGCUACGUUCGGAAGGGAUGACCGCUGAAAGCAUCUAAGCGGGAAGCCUGUUCCAAGAUGAGGUUUCUCACCACCUUGCGUGGUUAAGGCCCCCUACAGACCAUGGGGUUGAUAGGCCGGAACUGGAAGCGCAGCAAUGCGUGGAGGUGACCGGUACUAAUAGGCCGAGGGC